rnacentral:hammerhead_ribozyme from 1 species
AUCCGACUGACGAGUCCCAAAGGGAACGAAACGCGCGUCUUAGAU